AGAGUUUGAUCCUGGCUCAGGACGAACGCUGGCGGCGCGCCUAACACAUGCAAGUCGAACGGAGCUUAGAGAGCUUGCUUUUUAAGCUUAGUGGCGAACGGGUGAGUAACGCGUGAGUAACCUGCCCUAGAGUGGGGGACAACAGUUGGAAACGACUGCUAAUACCGCAUAAGCCCACGGUACCGCAUGAUACUGAGGGAAAAGGAUUUAUUCGCUUUAGGAUGGACUCGCGUCCAAUUAGCUAGUUGGUGAGGUAACGGCCCACCAAGGCGACGAUUGGUAGCCGGACUGAGAGGUUGAACGGCCACAUUGGGACUGAGACACGGCCCAGACUCCUACGGGAGGCAGCAGUGGGGGAUAUUGCACAAUGGGGGAAACCCUGAUGCAGCGACGCCGCGUGGAGGAAGAAGGUUUUCGGAUUGUAAACUCCUGUCGUUAGGGACGAUAAUGACGGUACCUAACAAGAAAGCACCGGCUAACUACGUGCCAGCAGCCGCGGUAAAACGUAGGGUGCAAGCGUUGUCCGGAAUUACUGGGUGUAAAGGGAGCGCAGGCGGGAAGACAAGUUGGAAGUGAAAACCAUGGGCUCAACCCAUGAAUUGCUUUCCAAACUGUUUUUUUUCUUGAGUAGUGCAGAGGUAGAUGAUACCGUGUAGCGUGAAUGCGUAGAUAUCGGGAGGACACCAGUGGCGAAGGCGGUCUACUGGGCACCAACUGACGCUGAGGCUCGAAAGCAUGGGUAGCAAACAGGAUUAGAUACCCUGGUAGUCCAUGCCGUAAACGAUGAUUACUAGGUGUUGGGGGAUUGACCCUCUCAGUGCCGCAGUUAACACAAUAAGUAAUCCACCUGGGGAGUACGACCGCAAGGUUGAAACUCAAAGGAAUUGACGGGGGCCCGCACAAGCAGUGGAGUAUGUGGUUUAAUUCGAAGCAACGCGAAGAACCUUACCAGGUCUUGACAUCCGAUGCAUAACACAGAGAUGUGUGAAAUCCUUCGGGACAUCGAGACAGGUGGUGCAUGGUUGUCGUCAGCUCGUGUCGUGAGAUGUUGGGUUAAGUCCCGCAACGAGCGCAACCCUUAUUGCCAGUUACUACGUUAAGAGGACUCUGGCGAGACUGCCGUUGACAAAACGGAGGAAGGUGGGGAUGACGUCAAAUCAUCAUGCCCUUUAUGACCUGGGCUACACACGUACUACAAUGGCGUUAAACAAAGAGAAGCAAGACCGCGAGGUGGAGCAAAACUCAAAAACAACGUCUCAGUUCAGAUUGCAGGCUGCAACUCGCCUGCAUGAAGUCGGAAUUGCUAGUAAUCGCGGAUCAGCAUGCCGCGGUGAAUACGUUCCCGGGCCUUGCACACACCGCCCGUC
rnacentral:rRNA from 1 species